AAACAUGGCGAUGCUCAUUGUGUCCACGUGGAAGACAGAAGUUACGUACAUAAUAGAUUCGAUUUACAAGAAAUGACUGAAUUAUGUUCGUAACAAUGACACAAAGAUCCACAAGACUCAAAAUAGAAGAAUGAGGAUAUUUAGCAUCCAUCUGACAUUUUACUUGUCUGCAUUGAUUCUGUCUGAAAGCUAGUUUUUUAUUAAGCUUUGAAAUGAAAUAUUAAAAGUAUUAAAGACAAUUGUUUGAUUGUCUUGUUAUUUUUUUGUUCCUUUUUAAAGCCUGAUUCGGAGUUAGGUGUCCAUGUUACUUACAUAAUUUCUCCUUUUUUGAAACUAGAAAUAAAAAU